rnacentral:rRNA from 1 species
AUGAUCAUUGACUAUGCUCACUUCGGUGAUGUUGUUACGUUUGAUACUACAUUUGGGACAAAUAAAGAGUACAGACCCUUUGGUGUAUUUGUUGGCUUCAACCAUUUUAGGGAAAUGUUCAUUUUUGGUGCUGCACUUCUAUACGACGAGACAUUUGAAUCCUUCAGAUGGUUGUUCAACACUUUCCUAUCCAUACAUAACAAAAAAAAAAAGACGAGGAUGGCCCAAAUGUACUUGCUGAUUUCAGUGCUUGCAUGUACAAGUAUGAGGAAGAGGAAGACUUUGAAGAAGCUUUCACUGCCAUAA